rnacentral:rRNA from 1 species
GGCGAAUGAAGCGGGAAAAGCUCAAGUUUGAAAUCUGGCGGGCCCAGAGUUGUAAGCUGAAGAGGCGUGACCGACGUGGUCCGUCCAAUUUCUUUGGAACAGGAAGUCACUGAGGGUGAGAACCCCGUAUGUGUUCGGACCCCGUCUGUGUCGUGUCCUCGAARAGUCGGGUUGUUUGGGAAUGCAGCUCAAAAUGGGUGGUAAAUUUCACUAAGGCUAAAUAUUGGCGAGAGACCGAUAGCGAACAAGUAGAGUGAUCGAAAGAUGAAAAGUACUUUGAAAAGAGAGUGAAACAGUACGUGAAAUUGUUGAAAGGAAGCGUUUGCAUCAGCCCAUGGCCUCCGUCGACAUCCAGGCUCUGUCUUGCGCUCGUCGUGGCCGGGCCAGCGUCGAUUUGCCCGUCGACAAGGUCCCGGGAAUGUGUCUCCUCGGGAGAGUAUAGCCCUUGGCGUCAUGCGGCGUGGCGGGGUCGAGGUCCGCGGUUUUCCAGGACGCUGGCGUAAUGGUUCCAAGCGACCCGUCUUGAAACACGGACCAAGGAGUCUAACAUCUAUGCGAGUGUUUGGGUGUCAAGCCCGUCCGCGCAAUGAAAGUGAAUGCAGGCGGGAGCUUUGGCGCACCGUCGACCGGUCCGGGGGUUUACCGAAUCUGAGUAAGAGCAUAGCUGUUGGGACCCGAAAGAUGGUGAACUAUGCCUGAAUA